AGGGACGCAGUGCGGAGGAGAGCUGCUGCUCUGCUACAAGGUGACGAACAAUAAUUCAGUACUUCAGCAGAUCAUAAAUCAGUGUCACAGGAUGGUCAGCGGGGGCAUGAGGCUGCAACUCAGAGGUCAGAGGUCAUCUGUCUCUGCCUUUGCACUGUGACAUCACAAGGCUGAGAGGACGUGGUGAUGAUGGUGGGCGUGGUGGUGGCGUGCAGCUCAGUGAGCUCCAUCAAAGCUCUAUGGGAGACCAGGAUCAGGAAGCGGAGGGAGGAGCAGGAGGAGGAGCAGAAGAGGAGGCUGACGAGGGGCGGAGCCACAGGCAGGCUCUGUGUCGGGGUUUGGGAGGACCGGGUGACUCUGGCACGCCUGAAGCAGAAGCUGCAGACUGAAGACGGUCGACUGGUUCUCCGGAUCGAGCAGGAGGAGUGGAAGACUCUGCCGGGCUGUCUGAUCCAGCUCAGUCAGGUUCAGGAGUGGCAGAUCCACAGGACCGGACUCCUGAAGAUCCCUCAUUUCAUCUCCAGCUUCCAGAACCUUCUGGUCCUCGAUCUGUCCCGGAACGGAGUCACUGAGAUCCCCAAACAGAUUGGGAAGCUGACUGGCCUCAGAGAGCUGCUGCUGAGCUACAACAGAAUCCAGUUUGUUCCUGAAGAGCUGAGCGGCUGUGACAGUCUGGAAAGGCUGGAGCUGGCCAUGAACUGGGACCUGCACGAGCUACCAGACCAGCUCGGGACACUGUCGAGGUUGCAGCACGUCGAUCUCUCCAUGAACAACUUCAGCCACCUGCCCGCCUGCCUGCUCGCCCUGCCAGCGCUCGAGUGGCUCGAUAUGGGAGGAAACUGCCUGCAGGACUUACCUGAAGACAUACACAGGAUGGAGAUGCUGCACACUCUGUGGCUGCAGAGGAACGAGCUGGAGAAGCUUCCAGAGAACAUCACCAGGAUGAGGAGCCUGGACACACUCGUGCUCAGCAGCAACAGACUGAGACACAUCCCGCCGCUCAUGGAGGACAUGUCCAACCUCAGGUUUGUGAAUUUCAGGGACAAUCCUCUGACUCUGGACGUGACGCUCCCAAGCAGGGAGGCAGCGGCUGAGGAUGAGGAGGAAGACGACAGGGAGAUGUUUGGAAAAGAGUUCAUGCUCAUGUACAUCCAGGAGGCCCGUAAGAGAGCGUACGCCGUGCUCAACAUGCACAGCAUCAACCGUUAGUACUGAGCACGCUCACUGACCUGUGUACGCUAACACACUAACCUGCGUGUGCCAAGCGUCUCAUCUGGACAGUGACCCUGGCCCAGGUCACCUAACAGGAAGCUAAACCCUGACUGACCCCUCUGAACUCAGAGUCCGACGACGAGUCCUCAGAGUAAAACACGCCACCACGCCUCUUCUUCUUCUGGCUUUUCCCAUCCUAAGCAUGCUUCCAUAAGGCCACACCUGUGCUUUUAUUUUGAAAGAGUUUGGCUGGAUGAGCAGGAAACAACAACAGAGGGCGACUCAACCUCCAAAAGUUUGUCCAGCUGUGAACUGAACCAUGUUUGUGCCGCCUGAUAUCCAGAUUUUAGUGAGCAUGCUCAGUGCUGCUUGUUUAAAGACUGGACAUAUAUAAAUGUACAAAGACUGCACGCGCAAGAGGUGAAAACACUUUAAUACAAACAUAAAAUACCCCAACA